rnacentral:lncRNA from 1 species
UUUUCUCUCUCCUCUGUUCUUUUUCUCCUUUUCUCAGAGUUUCCACCCCCAAAGAGUCCAUGGCCUUCUUGCAGGAAAACAUCUGGAAAGGACCUCGAGCCCAUGCUGAGAGUUUCCUGAACUGAGGCUUCCAUAGAUAACACAGGGAUGGACUCAGAGCUGACAUCAACAAUUUGCCACAGCUUCCAGGCAUUUGCAGUGCCUCAGACCAGCAAGCGUAGGGGGAAGCUGCC